AAUAAGCCACGGCUAACUCUGUGCCAGCAGCCGCGGUAAGACAGAGGUGGCGAGCGUUGUUCGGAAUUACUGGGCUUAAAGGGCGAGUAGGCGGUGGAGUAAGUCUGAGGUGGAAUCCUAUGGCUUAACCAUAGAACUGCCUUAGAAACUGUUUUACUUGAGUCAGUGAGGGGAGGGCGGAAUUCCUGGUGUAGCGGUGAAAUGCGUAGAUAUCAGGAGGAAGGCCUGUGGCGAAGGCGGCCCUCUGGCACUGAACUGACGCUGAGGCGCGAAAGCGUGGGUAGCAAACAGGAUUAGAUACCCUGGUAGUCCACGCCCUAAACGGUGGGCAUUAGGUGUAGGGCUCGUAAGGGUUCUGUGCCGAAGGGAAACCA
rnacentral:rRNA from 1 species